CAGCAGCCACGGUAAUACGUAGGUCCCGAGCGUUGUCCGGAUUUAUUGGGCGUAAAGCGAGCGCAGGCGGUUAGAUAAGUCUGAAGUUAAAGGCUGUGGCUUAACCAUAGUACGCUUUGGAAACUGUUUAACUUGAGUGCAGAAGGGGAGAGUGGAAUUCCAUGUGUAGCGGUGAAAUGCGUAGAUAUAUGGAGGAACACCGGUGGCGAAGGCGGCUUUCUGGACUGUAACUGACGCUGAGGCUCGAAAGCCAGGGGAGCGAACAGGAUUAGAUACCCGCGUAGUCCCUGUCUCUUAUACA
rnacentral:rRNA from 1 species